rnacentral:rRNA from 1 species
UACGUAGGGGGCUAGCGUUGUCCGGAAUCAUUGGGCGUAAAGCGCGCGUAGGCGGCCCGGUAAGUCCGCUGUGAAAGUCCAGGGCUCAACCCUGGAAAGCCGGUGGAUACUGCCGGGCUAGAGUCCGGAAGAGGCGAGUGGAAUUCCUGGUGUAGCGGUGGAAUGCGCAGAUAUCAGGAGGAACACCGAUGGCGAAGGCAGCUCGCUGGGACGGUACUGACGCUGAGGCGCGAAAGCUAGGGGAGCAAACGGG